rnacentral:rRNA from 1 species
CCCUUAGAUGUUCUGGGCCGCACGCGCGCUACACUGACUACUUCAACGAGUUGUUUCCUUGAUCGAAAGGUCUGGGUAAUCUUUGAAAGGUAGCCGUGAUGGGGAUAGAUCCUUGCAAUUUUUGAUCUUCAACGAGGAAUUCCUAGUAAACGCAAGUCAUCAGCUUGCAUUGAUUACGUCCCUGCCCUUUGUACACACCGCCCGUCGCACCUACCGAUUGAAUGGUCCGGUGAAUCUUUAGGACUGUGGCUGAGGCCUUGCCUUGUGCGGGUCUGGCCGUGGGAAUUUAGUUAAACCUUACCAUUUAGAGGAAGGUGAAGUCGUAACA